rnacentral:lncRNA from 1 species
AUGGAGGACCCCUGCCUUGGCACCUUCUCCCCAAGGUGCUCUGCACACUUUAAUUCUCUUGCUCUCUCAUCACCCCCUAUGCCCGUCAUCCCUCUAUCCCUCUCACCCCCUAUGCCUGUCAUCCCUCUAUCCCUCUCACUCCCUAUGCCCGUCAUCCCUCUAUCCCUCUCACUCCCUAUGCCCGUCAUCCCUCUAUCCCUCUCACUCCCUAUGCCCAUCAUUCCUCUAUCCCUCACUCCCUAUGCCCGUCAUCACUCUCUCUCAUCACUCCCUAUGCCCGUCAUCACUCUCUCUCAUCACUCCCUAUGCCCGUCAUCCCUCUCACUCCCUAUGCCCGUCAUCCCUCUUUCCCUCUCACUCCCUAUGCCCGUCAUCCCUCUAUCCCUCUCACUCCCUAUGCCCGUCAUCACUCUCUCUCAUCACUCCCUAUGCCCGUCAUCACUCUCUCUCAUCACUCCCUAUGCCCGUCAUCCCUCUCACUCCCAAUGCCCGUCAUCCCUCUCUCUCAUCACUCCCUAUGCCCGUCAUCACUCUCUCUCAUCACUCCCUAUGCCCGUCAUCACUCUAUCCCUCUCAUUCCCUAUGCCCGUCAUCCCUCUAUCCCUCUCACUCCCUAUGCCCGUCAUCACUCUAUCCCUCUCACUCCCUAUGCCCGUCAUCCCUCUCACUCCCUAUGCCCGUCAUCCCUCUAUCCCUCUCACUCCCUAUGCCCGUCAUCCCUCUAUCCCUCUCACUCCCUAUGCCCGUCAUCCCUCUCACUCCCUAUGCCCGUCAUCCCUCUAUCCCUCUCACUCCCUAUGCCCGUCAUCACUCUCUCUCAUCACCCCCUAUGCCCGUCAUCCCUCUCACUCCCUAUGCCUGUCAUCCCUCUAUCCCUCUCACUCCCUAUGCCCGUCAUCCCUCUAUCCCUCUCACUCCCUAUGCCCGUCAUCCCUCUAUCCCUCUCACUCCCUAUGCCCUCUAUCCCUCUCACUCCCUAUGCCCAUCAUCCCUCUCACUCCCUAUUCCCGUCAUCACUCUCUCUCAUCACUCCCUAUGCCCGUCAUCACUCCCUAUGCCCGUCAUCCCUCUAUCCCUCUCACUCCCUAUGCCCUCUAUCCCUCUCACUCCCUAUGCCCGUCAUCCCUCUAUCCCUCUCACUCCCUAUGCCCGUCAUUCCUCUCACUCCCUAUAACCGUCAUCCCUCUAUCCCUCUCACUCCCUAUGCCCGUCAUCCCUCUAUCCCUCUCACUCCCUAUGCCCGUCACCCCUCUCACUCCCUAUGCCCGUCAUCACUCUCUCUCAUCACCCCCUAUGCCCGUCAUCCCUCUAUCCCUCUCACCCCCUUUGCCCGUCAUCCCUCUAUCCCUCUCACUCCCUAUGCCCGUCAUCCCUCUCACUCCCUAUGCCCGUCAUCCCUCUAUCCCUCUCACUCCCUAUGCCCGUCAUCCCUCUAUCGCUCUCACUCCCUAUGCCCGUCAUCCCUCUGUCCCUCACUCCCUAUGCCCGUCAUCCCUCUAUCCCUCACUCCCUAUGCCCAUCAUCCCUCUAUCCCUCUCACUCCCUAUGCCCGUCAUCCCUCUAUCCCUCUCACUCCCUAUGCCCGUCAUCCCUCUAUCCCUCUCACUCCCUAUGCCUGUCAUCCCUGUAUCCCUCUCACUCCCUAUGCCCGUCAUCCCUCUCACUCCCUAUGCCCGUCAUCCCUCUAUCCCUCUCACCCCCUAUGCCUGUCAUCCCUCUAUCCCUCUCACUCCCUAUGCCCGUCAUCCCUCUAUCCCUCUCACUCCCUAUGCCCGUCAUCCCUCUAUCCCUCACUCCCUAUGCCCGCCAUCCCUCUAUCCCUCUCACUCCCUAUGCCCAUCAUCCCUCUAUCCCUCACUCCCUAUGCCCGUCAUCACUCUUUCCCUCUCACUCCCUAUGCCCGUCAUCCCUCUCACUCCCUAUGCCCGUCAUCCCUCUAUCCCUCUCACUCCCUAUGCUCGUCAUCCCUCUAUCCCUCUCACUCCCUAUGCUCGUCAUCCCUCUAUCCCUCUCACUCCCUAUGCCCGUCAUCCCUCUAUCCCUCUCACUCCCUAUGCCCGUCAUCCCUCUAUCCCUCUCACUCCCUAUGCCUGUCAUCCCUGUAUCCCUCUCACUCCCUAUGCCCGUCAUCCCUCUAUCCCUCUCACUCCCUAUGCCCGUCAUUCCUCUCACUCCCUAUGCCCGUCAUCCCUCUAUCCCUCUCACCCCCUAUGCCCGUCAUCCCUCUAUCCCUCUCACUCCCUAUGCCCGUCAUCCCUCUAUCCCUCUCACUCCCUAUGCCCGUCAUCUCUCUCUCAUCACUCCCUAUGCCCGUCAUCACUCCCUAUGCCCGUCAUCCCUCUAUCCCUCUCACUCCCUAUGCCCGUCAUCUCUCUCACUCCCUAUGCCUGUCAUCCCUCUAUCCCUCUCACUCCCUAUGCCCGUCAUCACUCUAUCCCUCUGUUUUUGUCUCCCACCUCCAACUUCGCAGUAUAA